AUUAUUAUUCUCCUGCUCUUGUUGUAUCGCUGCAGACAGUCCAAGUAUUCCUGCUUCACCAGGUGGAUCCAGUCUGAGAGUCACAGUCCGGGCUCCUCCACAAAUCAUGGAGUCAACCAGAAUGAAACUCAUGAAUACAACUCUCUUCAUCCUGGUGAUGCUAACCUCUAUGAAUCCAUCACACAAGAGGAAGACACUGGAACUGGUGCAGAUGAACCCCGAGACGUCACAUACUCUCUGAUUACACUUCAAAACAUUGG